rnacentral:rRNA from 1 species
AACGAACGCUGGCGGCAGGCCUAACACAUGCAAGUCGAGCGAGGACUUCGGUCCUAGCGGCGGACGGGUGAGUAACGCGUGGGAACGUGCCCUUUGCUUCGGAAUAGCCCUGGGAAACUGGGAGUAAUACCGGAUGAGCACUUUGGGGGAAAGAUUUAUCGGCGAAGGAUCGGCCCGCGUUGGAUUAGGUAGUUGGUGGGGUAAUGGCCUACCAAGCCGACGAUCCAUAGCUGGUUUGAGAGGAUGAUCAGCCACACUGGGACUGAGACACGGCCCAGACUCCUACGGGAGGCAGCAGUGGGGAAUCUUAGACAAUGGGGGAAACCCUGAUCUAGCCAUGCCGCGUGAGCGAUGAAGGCCUUAGGGUUGUAAAGCUCUUUCAGCUGGGAAGAUAAUGACGGUACCAGCAGAAGAAGCCCCGGCUAACUCCGUG